rnacentral:rRNA from 1 species
ACCCGUUGAUCCUGCGGGAGAUCGCUGCUAUUAGGAUUCGACUAAGCCAUGCAAGUCUAGGGGACUUCGGUCACCGGCGAAAUGCUCAGUAACACGUUGAUAAUCUGCCCUUUGGAUAGGGAUAGCCUUGGGAAACUGAGGGUAAUACCUUAUAUAGGAAUUCUACUGGAAUGUGUUUUCCUUCAAAGCUUUUGCGCCAAAGGAUGAGUCAGCGGCGGAUUAGGUUGUUGGCGGGGUAAAGGCCCACCAAGCCGACGAUCCGUAUGGGCCUUGAGAGAGGUAGCCCAGAGAGGGACACUGAGAAACUGGUCCCAGCCCUACGGGGUGCAGCAGGCGCGAAACCUUUACAAUGCACGAAAGUGUGAUAGGGGAAUCCUAAGUGCUAAUGCUUUGCAUUAGCUUUUGCCAAGAGUAAAUAUCUUGGCGAAUAAGUGGUGGGUAAGACUGGUGCCAGCAGCCGCGGUAACACCAGCGCCACGAGUGGGGAUCAUGUUUAUUUGGCCUAAAGCGUCCGUAGCCGGUUUGGCAAAUCUUUUGUGAAAUCCUAGGGCUUAACCCUAGGACGUGCAGGAGACACUACCAGACUCGGAACCGGGAGGAGUUAGAGGUAUGCUAGGGGGAGCGGUAAAAUGCUAUAAUCCCUGGUAGACCACCUGUGGCGAAGGCGUCUAACUAGAACGGAUUCGACGGUGAGGGACGAAAGCCAGGGGAGCGAUCCGGAUUAGAUACCCGAGUAGUCCUGGCCGUAAACGCUGCGAGCAAGGUAUUGCAUAUCCUACGAAGAUGUGCAGUGUCGAAGAGAAGUCGUUAAGCUCGCCGCCUGGGAAGUACAGUCGCAAGAUCGAAACUUAAAGGAAUUGGCGGGGGAGCACAACAAGGGGUGCGGCGUGCGGUUUAAUCUAAUUCAACGCAGAGAAUCUCACCAGGAGCGACGGCACAAUGAAGGUCAGUCUAACGGGCUUACCUGAGGAGCCGAGAGGUAGUGCAUGGCCGCCGUCAGCUCGUGCCGUAAGGUGUCCUGUUAAGUCAGGCAACGAGCGAGACCUGCAUCCAUAAUUGCCAGCGGGACCAUCGGUCGACUGGGCACAUUAUGGGGACUGCCCUGGAAACAGGGAGGAAGGUGCAGGCAACGGUAGGUCUGUAUGCUCCGAAUCCUCUGGGCAACACGCGCGCAACAAUGGUAAGGACAAUGGGAUGCGACUCCGAAAGGAGAAGCUAAGCCUCGAAACCUUGCCCUAGUUCAGAUCGAGGAUUGUAACUCAUCCUCGUGACGCCGGAAUCCCUAGUAAUCGGAUCUCAACAUGGUCCGGUGAAUACGUCCCUGCUCCUUGCACACACCGCCCGUCAAACCACUCGAGCAGGGCUUAGGUGAGUAACAGCUUUUUUGGUUAUUACGAAUCUAAGCUCAGUGAGAUGGGUUAAGUCGUCACAAGGUA